rnacentral:lncRNA from 1 species
GUCUCUCUCUCUCUCUCUCCCUCUCUCUCUCUUUCUCUCUCUCUCUCUCUCUCUCUCUCUCUCUCUGUCUCUCCCCCCACUUCUUUUCACAGUCUUUCUUCUUUUUUCACUUGCACUGUGUAUUCUGUAUCCUAGGCAACUCCUCCCCUCCCUCACCCACAACACAAAAAGGUGGAUUCUCAUACAGAAACCACAUCUUUUUUUUUCCCAGUUGUAUCAGACUACUUUUACAACCACAACAUUUCUGAUUAACAGUUUGCUGCUGUGGGUAGGGAGCCCACAUACCCUGCCAAGGAAGAAAGGCUGGACUUGCUAGUGAGAGAGCAAUAGCAUCCUUAAUGGUGAUGGGAAGUAGCUGGACACAGUGAGACAGACCAUUUGCAUCCUCUGGUUGUUCCAUGGAUCCUUUCACCUGCUUCUUUUGGAGAGCUACCUGAAGAUGCAAAGACUAUCUGUUUGACCUGGCCCCUGUGUCUGCAGGAUUGGUUGAGGCAUGCAAAAGGCCCAGACAGUGAUUUGAGCUUACUGUUGGAGAGCAUGCCAAUAGAACUUUUUAUAGAAGUAUAUUUUAAUGUAAACUAAUAACUUAUGGAAUUACAUAUAAAAGGAAGAUUUGAAAUAUUCUAAUGAGAGAAAGAGACAGAG